rnacentral:rRNA from 1 species
GAUGAACGCUGGCGGCGUGCCUAAUACAUGCAAGUAGAACGCUGAAGCUUGGUGCUUGCACCGAGCGGAUGAGUUGCGAACGGGUGAGUAACGCGUAGGUAACCUGCCUGGUAGCGGGGGAUAACUAUUGGAAACGAUAGCUAAUACCGCAUAACAGUCGACAUUGCAUGAUGUUGAUUUGAAAGGGGCAAUUGCUCCACUACCAGAUGGACCUGCGUUGUAUUAGCUAGUUGGUGAGGUAACGGCUCACCAAGGCGACGAUACAUAGCCGACCUGAGAGGGUGAUCGGCCACACUGGGACUGAGACACGGCCCAGACUCCUACGGGAGGCAGCAGUAGGGAAUCUUCGGCAAUGGACGGAAGUCUGACCGAGCAACGCCGCGUGAGUGAAGAAGGUUUUCGGAUCGUAAAGCUCUGUUGUAAGAGAAGAACGAGUGUGAGAGUGGAAAGUUCACACUGUGACGGUAACUUACCAGAAAGGGACGGCUAACUACGUGCCAGCAGCCGCGGUAAUACGUAGGUCCCGAGCGUUAUCCGGAUUUAUUGGGCGUAAAGCGAGCGCAGGCGGUUAGAUAAGUCUGAAGUUAAAGGCUGUGGCUUAACCAUAGUACGCUUUGGAAACUGUUUAACUUGAGUGCAGAAGGGGAGAGUGGAAUUCCAUGUGUAGCGGUGAAAUGCGUAGAUAUAUGGAGGAACACCGGUGGCGAAAGCGGCUCUCUGGUCUGUAACUGA